CCGGGCUGUGAUGAUGGCGACUUUUGUCACAGGUUCGAGUUUAGCGACCAUGAGAUGACAAGAUCCAUGCACCUCCAUCUGAGCUCUC
ensembl:snoRNA SNORD33 Small nucleolar RNA Z195/SNORD33/SNORD32 family